rnacentral:rRNA from 1 species
AUUGAACGCUGGCGGCAGGCCUAACACAUGCAAGUCGAGCGGAUGAAGGGAGCUUGCUCCUGGAUUCAGCGGCGGACGGGUGAGUAAUGCCUAGGAAUCUGCCUGGUAGUGGGGGAUAACGUCCGGAAACGGGCGCUAAUACCGCAUACGUCCUGAGGGAGAAAGUGGGGGAUCUUCGGACCUCACGCUAUCAGAUGAGCCUAGGUCGGAUUAGCUAGUUGGUGGGGUAAAGGCCUACCAAGGCGACGAUCCGUAACUGGUCUGAGAGGAUGAUCAGUCACACUGGAACUGAGACACGGUCCAGAGUCCUGCGGGAGGCAGCAGUGGGGAAUAUUGGACAAUGGGCGAAAGCCUGAUCCAGCCAUGCCGAGUGUGUGAAGAAGGUCUUCGGAUUGUAAAGCACUUUAAGUUGGGAGGAAGGGCAGUAAGUUAAUACCUUGCUGUUUUGACGUUACCAACAGAAUAAGCACCGGCUAACUUCGUG